rfam:Helianthus annuus linkage group 14, whole genome shotgun sequence.
UGCAAUCGAUGAUGCAAAUCUACAUUUUAAACUGAUGUUUUGCUGUGAUUAACUUAAAUUUAUCACCAUCUUUCGGCUGAGAUUGCA